rnacentral:lncRNA from 1 species
GUUGACAAACGCAGAGAUUGGAGUUACGCAAAGCCAAAAUGCUAAAGAUGGCCAGCAAACCACCAGCAGCUGGCAAGGAACAAGAAAGAUUCCCCUCCAGGGUUCAGAGAGGACGCAGUCCUGCUGACACCUUGAUUUUGGACUUCCAGCCUCCAGAUUGCCCGACAAUACGCUUCUGUCGUUUUAACCCACCCCGUUUGUGGUCCUUUGUUGCUGCAGCCGAAGGAAACGAAUUUGGCUUCUAUGAAUCAAUAGAAAAAAUUAGCAGAGGACAGAGGAGAAACACAAAUGGCUCUUAGAAAAAUGACAGUAAAAUACUGUUUGCCUCAGUUAGCUUUUGCUGUUUUAUGCCACCCCAAAACUUAGUGGCUUAAAAUAACAAACAUUAUGCCUCAGGAUUCUGUGGGUUGGCUGGGCCCAGCUGGUGGAGGCUGGCUUGGCUCUUCUUGGAUGGCGUCACGCAAAGGUCCUCAGCUGGGUUGGCUGGGAUGCCCGGAGCCUCUCUCCGAACGGCUUCCCAUCCGACAUGAGGCAAGCCUGUUCACACGGUGGCAAAAGGGUUUCCAGCAGCCGGAAACGUAGAGUAGAAGCUCCGAGUUCCCCUGAGGCCGGGGCUCAGGAUGCAGGCGACGUCGCUUCCACCUCAUUCUAUUGGUCAAAGCGAGUUCCAAGCCGGGCUCAGAAAUGAGGAGAGGCAAAUAGACACCAUCUCUCUCUCUCUCUUUUUUUUCCUUUUUCCUUCUUCUCCCCAAAGCCCCUCAGUACAUAGCUGGAUAUUUUAGUUGUGGGUCCUUCUAGUUGCGGCAAGUGGGAUGCUGCCUCAAUGUGGCCUGAAGAGCGAUGCUAUGUUGGCGCCCAGGAUCCGAACCGGCGAAACCCUGGGCUGCCGAAGAGGAGCGUGAGAAUCCAACCACUUGGCCACGGGGCCGGCCCCAAGACACCACCUCCUGAUGGAAGGAACUGCACAGACUUCGUGGUUAUUUGUGUUCUACCACACCCUUCACUGGCAGCCCAGGUUACCAGCUAACCUUUGAGGACACCAGCUGCUUCUCGUCAGGAAGCACCGGGAGCCACUCCCCUCUUCCCGACUCCAGACUCCAGACUGGGGGACCGGCUCUCCCUUCUUCCCACGUCUCCUGGACCAAGCGGCUCUGCAUCCACCCAGGAAGGAGCCGGGAUCGUGCUCUGACUCCUCCCUGCUCUAGUGCUCCUGGGAGCGCUGGUGGCCCCAGCAGGUAGGUGCACGGUGGGUGGUCCCUCUGAGCGAGAGGAUCAGCCCAUCUUCAUAUGGGUGGUGGGAAUCUGGCUUCAGAAUCUGAGCCCAGCUCUUUCCACCUCGGCUUUCUGUCUGGUGGAGACUGCUGAAGGGAGUGUUUGAGAGCACAGUUCUGGAGCCAGGCUGCCUGGG